GCGGUCGUCGCACAACGGCAGUGCGUCGCCUCGCCUCGGCGAAGACGCGGGUUCGACUCCCGCCGGCCGCU
rnacentral:tRNA from 1 species